rnacentral:lncRNA from 1 species
AAUGACAAUUCCAUCAGCCGAUAAGCACCAGGCCUUUGGGCCUCCAAUGAUUAUCCAACUGAUGGACCCAUUAUCAUCCACUUAAUGGGAGGCUAUGAUCUAGUUAUCAUCAUAACUAUUUUAUUUUAAGGACCUAAUAAUUUUAGAGAAUUUAAUUGAAUUAGAGGAGGAGGUCAGAUUAACCAGCUUAUCAUGAUCCUCCCACUGGCUUCACCAAGUCAGCUUAAGGGAGACCAUUAAAAGGGCU